UGGGGAAUCUUGCACAAUGGGGGCAACCCUGAUGCAGCGACGCCGCGUGAGCGAUGAAGCCCUUCGGGGCGUAAAGCUCUUUCGACCGGAACGAUAAUGACGGUACCGGGAGAAGAAGCUGCGGCUAACUACGUGCCAGCAGCCGCGGUAAUACGUAGGCAGCAAGCGUUGUUCGGAGUUACUGGGCGUAAAGAGUGCGUAGGCGGUUUUCUAAGUUCGGUGUGAAAUCUCCCGGCUUAACUGGGAGGGUGCGCCGAAGACUGGGAAGCUGGAGUGUGGGAAAGGCAGGCGGAAUUCCUGGUGUAGCGGUGAAAUGCGUAGAUAUCAGGAGGAACACCUGCGCUGUAGACGGCUUGCUAGACCAUAACUGACGCUGAGGCACGAAAGCGUGGGUAGCAAACA
rnacentral:rRNA from 1 species